rnacentral:rRNA from 1 species
CGGACGGGUGAGUAACGCGUGGAAAACCUGCCGUAUACUGGGGGAGUAACACUUAGAAAUAGGUGCUAAUACCGCAUAAGCGCACAGCUUCGCAUGAAGCGGUGUGAAAAACUCUGGUGGUAUACGAUGGUUCCGCGUCUGAUUAGCUAGUUGGUGGGGUAAUGGCCUACCAAGGCAACGAUCAGUAGCCGGCCUGAGAGGGCGGACGGCCACAUUGGGACUGAGACACGGCCCAGACUCCUACGGAAGGCAGCAG